UGGGGAAUAUUGCACAAUGGGCGAAAGCCUGAUGCAGCGACGCCGCGUGGAGGAUGACGGUCUUCGGAUUGUAAACUCCUGUUAAGUGGGAAGAAAGACUAGCAUCUAAUACAUGCUGGGGAUGACGGUACCACUAGAGAAAGCACCGGCAAACUUCGUGCCAGCAGCCGCGGUAAUACGAAGGGUGCAAGCGUUAUUCGGAAUGACUGGGCGUAAAGAGCGUGAAGGCGGUUUUCUAAGUCAUUUGUUAAAGCGCUCGGCUUAACCGAGCAUAUGCGAGUGAAACUGGAAGGCUUGAGUACAGGAGAGAAAGGUAGAAUUCUCGGAGUAGCGGUAAAAUGCGUAGAUCUCGAGAGGAAUACCGGUUGCGAAGGCGGCCUUUUGGCCUGUUACUGACGCUUAAGCGCGAAAGCGUGGGGAGCAAACAGG
rnacentral:rRNA from 1 species